GGCCCUGUAGUUGAAUUACAACGUCGCCUUGCAAAGGUGAAAGUGCCGGGUAAAUAUAUUGGCUGGGGUUU
rnacentral:tRNA from 1 species